GACGAACGCUGGCGGCGUGCCUAAUACAUGCAAGUCGAACGCAGUGGGGACGGGUGAGUAACACGUGGGUAACCUCCCAUCAGAGGGGAUAACACUUGGAAACAGGUGCUAAACCGAUACUGAUGGAUGAACCCGCGUGGCAUUAGCUAGUUGGUUAGGUAACGGCUCACCAAGGCCACGAUGCAUAGCCGACAUGUGAGGGUGAUCGGCACCACGGGGACUGAGACACGGCACAGAGUCCUACGUGAGGCAGCAGUAGGGAAUCUUCGGCAAGGGACGAAAGUCUGACCGAGCAACGCCGCGUGAGUGAAGACGGUUGUCGGAUCGUAAAACUCUGUUGUUAGAGAAGCGGUAUCUAACCAGAAAGCCACGGCUAACUACGUGCCAGCAGCCGCGGUAAUUC
rnacentral:rRNA from 1 species